rnacentral:misc_RNA from 1 species
CGCACAUUGCGCCCCUUGGUAUUCCAGGGGGCAUGCCUGUUUGAGCGUCAUUUCCUUCUCAAACAUUCUGUUUGGUAGUGAGUGAUACUCUUUGGAGUUAACUUGAAAUUGCUGGCCUUUUCAUUGGAUGUUUUUUUUUUCCAAAGAGAGGUUUCUCUGCGUGCUUGAGGUAUAAUGCAAGUACGGUCGUUUUAGGUUUUACCAACUGCGGCUAAUCUUUUUUAUACUGAGCGUAUUGGAACGUUAUCGAUAAGAAGAGAGCGUCUAGGCGAACAAUGUUCUUAAAGUUUGACCUCAAAUCAGGUAGGAGUACCCGCUGAACUUAA